CGUAGGGUGCGAGCGUUAAUCGGAAUUACUGGGCGUAAAGUGUGCGCAGGCGGCUCCGCAAGUCGAGUGUGAAAUCCCCGAGCUUAACUUGGGAAUUGCGCCCGAAACUACGGAACUGGAGUGUGGCAGAGGAAGGUGGAAUUCCACGUGUAGCGGUGAAAUGCGUAGAGAUGUGGAGGAACACCGAUGGCGAAGGCAGCCUUCUGGGCCAACACUGACGCUCAUGCACGAAAGCGUGGGGAGCAAACAGGAUUAGAUACCCUGGUAGUCCACGCCCUAAACGAUGAUGACUAGUUGUUGGAGGAGUUAAAUCCUUUAGUAACGCAGCUAACGCGUGAAGUCAUCCGCCUGGGGAGUACGGUCGCAAGAUUA
rnacentral:rRNA from 1 species